UACGUAGGGGGCAAGCGUUGUCCGGAUUUACUGGGCGUAAAGAGCGCGCAGGCGGUCGUUCAAGUCGCGUGUGAAAGCCCCCGGCUCAACUGGGGAGGGUCACGCGAUACUGAUCGACUCGAAGGCAGGAGAGGGAAGUGGAAUUCCCGGUGUAGUGGUGAAAUGCGUAGAUAUCGGGAGGAACACCAGUGGCGAAGGCGGCAUCCUGGACCGGUAUUGACGCUGAGGCGCGAAAGCCAGGGGAGCAAACGGG
rnacentral:rRNA from 1 species